AAGGCCAGUAAAAUUUUAGAACAAAAAUGAGCUGAGUUAUGCGAGCCCAGAAAGACACAGAAAAAACAGAGGGGGAAUGUAUCGAUAUAGCCGUUGGGGAUGGCAACUGAAAAGGCGGCAUUCCGAGAGGAAGCUGCUUUUGGGAUUUCCCUUCUGCUACAGCACUCCCACGCCGCCGGAGAAUGAGAAACUUGCGUCACCGGGACCCCCUCCGAUUCGAGUCUCGAUCACCGAAAUGGCAGGGCGAGGCGUGUUCGCGACUCGGAGGAUCGGAAGCGGAGAUCUCAUCCACACAGCGAAGCCUCUCGUAUCUCAUCCUUCGCUCUCCAGUAUUCAUAGCGUCUGUUACUUUUGCCUCAGAAAACUCAAACCUGUAACCUCUUCUGAAGAUUGCAAUGUUCGAUUUUGUAGCCAGGAAUGCGAAGAACAAUCCAAGGUUUUUGUCGCAGUCGAGAGGAAAGCAGAUUGGUCAGCUUAUGAUGACUACUGUAGAACUCGAGGUUUGAAAUACCCACUUCUUGUGAAGCGCUUGGCUUGUAUGGUUGUAUCAGGAGUGGCAUCAGCAGACUGUCUUGACAUACUUCAACCUGCAAGUUUAUCAUCUGAGAUGAUUUCAGAGAUGGGAGAGGGGUUUAGCUUGUUACAGAGUGCCUUCAUGAAGGCAAAAGCCAGAGAUGAAUGCAUGGCAUUUCUGACCGAGCAAUGGUACAUUAACGUGCUGGCACGGUUUCGUAUUAAUUCAUUUCGCAUUGAAUUGGCUGGAGGGUCAUAUGAAGAUCUUCAUUCAUUAGCAGCAGCUUCUGUAGAAACUGAAGCUGCUGUUGGCAAUGCUGUCUAUAUGCUUCCAUCUUUCUACAAUCAUGACUGUGAUUUUCCAUGAACCAAACAUAGCUUUGGCCUUUCCUUCGAGUCAUAGAACCUCUGCUAAAUAGUCUGGAGCAUCAGCCAGAGGACUCCAACCGGUCCUUUAGAACAAAUUCAGUUGCUGCAGAAUUUCUAACUUUAAACUCUCUUCUGGAAGUGGAUCCACGUUAUGAACUACACAUGCAAUGAGAAACAAAAUGAAAUGACUAUUAUCUUUGCAGAACCAGACCCAUCUCUCAUGGAUCCGAAUGUACAUAUCAUAUGGAUAGAUAACGUGAAUGCAAGAUUGAAAGCUCUCCGUGAAAUCGAAGCAGGUGAAGAACUCCGAAUCUG